rnacentral:rRNA from 1 species
UACGUAGGUGGCGAGCGUUGUCCGGAUUUACUGGGCGUAAAGGGCGUGCAGGCGGUUUGCUAAGUCUAGGGUGAAAGCUCCCGGCUUAACUGGGAGAGGUCCUUGGAUACUGGCAGACUUGAGGAGGGUAGAGGAGAGUGGAAUUCCCGGUGUAGUGGUGAUAUGCGUAGAUAUCGGGAGGAACACCAGUGGCGAAGGCGGCUCUCUGGGCCCUACCUGACGCUGAGACGCGAAAGCGUGGGGAGCGAACCGG